GAUGAACGCUAGCGACAGGCUUAACACAUGCAAGUCGAGGGGCAGCAUAAAAGUAGCAAUACUUUGGUGGCGACCGGCGCACGGGUGAGUAACGCGUAUGCAACCUACCUAUCAGAGGGGAAUAACCCGGCGAAAGUCGGACUAAUACCGCAUAAAACAGGGGCACCGCCUGGUGAUAUUUGUUAAAGAGAUUCGCCGCUAGAUGGGCAUGCGUUCCAUUAGGUAGUUGGUGAGGUAACGGCUCACCAAGCCGACGAUGGAUAGGGGAACUGAGAGGUUGGUCCCCCACACUGGUACUGAGACACGGACCAGACUCCUACGGGAGGCAGCAGUGAGGAAUAUUGGUCAAUGGGCGAGAGCCUGAACCAGCCAAGUCGCGUGAAGGAAGAAGGAUCUAUGGUUCGUAAACUUCUUUUGCAGGGGAAUAAAGUGCAGGACGUGUCCUGUUUUGUAUGUACCCUGAGAAUAAGGAUCGGCUAACUCCGUGCCAGCCGCCGCCGUAACAC
rnacentral:rRNA from 1 species